rnacentral:lncRNA from 1 species
GUAAUAGUAGCUGACUCAGUGACCACAGUGAAGGGAAAGUACACAGGAGGUUCAGCAGGCCUUCCUGGGUGAGCCCUGAUGAGAGUUUGUUUCCCUUUGAUGACAGAGACAGAGAAGAGCACAGGUGACUGCAGCCCAUAUGCCUCAAUUACAUCUCUCAUGUCCUUCACUGUUCCCUGAUUUUCCUGGGAUAUUGACUACAAAGUUUUCUGCUACAAGGAAAGAAGAAGGAAACUUAAGAGAAAUGAAAAUUAAGAAAUACAGCUUGUUCCUAGAAAAUUCAGACUCCUCGAUCUUUAGACACAAGAUCGAGGUCCUGGGCCUUACAUUUCAACACAGGUCCCUCAUAUCCAUAAAGGAAGGAGCCAAGAAA